UGCGUAGGCGGAUUAAUAAGUCAGUGGUGAAAACCUACAGCUUAACUGUAGAACUGCCAUUGAUACUGUUAGUCUUGAGUACGGUCAAGGUAGGCGGAAUGUGUAAUGUAGCGGUGAAAUGCUUAGAUAUUACACAGAACACCGAUUGCGAAGGCAGCUUACUGGACCAUUACUGACGCUGAGGCACGAAAGCGUGGGGAGCGAACAGGAUUAGAUACCCUGGUAGUCC
rnacentral:rRNA from 1 species